rnacentral:rRNA from 1 species
UUCCGGUUGAUCCCGCCAGAGGUUACUGCUAUCGAGGUUCGACUAAGCCAUGCGAGUCGAAUGUAGCAAUACAUGGCGAACUGCUCAGUAACACGUGGACAACCUGCCCUUAGGUCUGGCAUAACCCCGGGAAACUGGGGAUAAUUCCGGAUAGAUCAUCGAUGCUGGAAUGCGCUUUGAUCCAAAGCUAUUGUGCCUAAGGAUGGGUCUGCGGUCUAUCAGGUUGUAGUGGGUGUAAUGUACCUACUAGCCUACGACGGAUACGGGUUGUGGGAGCAAGAGCCCGGAGAUGGAUUCUGAGACAUGAAUCCAGGCCCUACGGGGCGCAGCAGGCGCGAAAACUUUACAAUGCGGGGAACCGCGAUAAGGGGACACCGAGUGCCAGCAUCCUAUGUUGGCUGUCCAUAUGUCUAAAUCACAUGUGUUAGCAAGGGCCGGGCAAGACCGGUGCCAGCCGCCGCGGUAACACCGGCGGCCCGAGUGGUGGCCACUAUUAUUGGGUCUAAAGGGUCCGUAGCCGGUUUGGUCAGUCUUCCGGGAAAUCUGACGGCUCAACCGUUAGGCUUUCGGGGGAUACUACCAGGCUUGGGACCGGGAGAGGUAAGAGGUACUACGGGGGUAGGAGUGAAAUCUUGUAAUCCCUGUGGGACCACCAGUGGCGAAGGCGUCUUACCAGAACGGGUCCGACGGUGAGGGACGAAAGCUGGGGGCACGAACCGGAUUAGAUACCCGGGUAGUCCCAGCUGUAAACUAUGCUCGCUAGGUGUCAGGGACGGUGCGACUGUUUCUGGUGCCGCAGGGAAGCCGUGAAGCGAGCCACCUGGGAAGUACGGUCGCAAGGCUGAAACUUAAAGGAAUUGGCGGGGGAGCACUACAACGGGUGGAGCCUGCGGUUUAAUUGGACUCAACGCCGGGA